GCUGGCGGCGUUGUCCAGACAUGCAAGAAAGAACGCGAAAGCUCCCUUCGGGGAGCAAGUAGAGUGGCGCUCGCGUGAGUAACACGUAGGUAAUCUACCUUUGGAUGGGGAAUAACAACCGGAAACGGUUGCUAAUACCGCAUAAUGCAGCGGCACCUAAUGGUGACAGUUGUUAAAGCGGGGGAUCGCAAGACCUCGCGUCUGAAGAGGAGCCUGCGGCAGAUUAGCUAGUUGGUAAGGUAACGGCUUACCAAGGCGAUGAUCUGUAGCCGGCCUGAGAGGGCGGUCGGCCACACUGACACUGACAUACGGGUCAGACUCCUACGGGAGGCAGCAGUGGG
rnacentral:rRNA from 1 species